CUUCGCUCGCUCGGCUCGUGCGGCAGUUCAAGAGUUAACCUAACACGCUCGUCGCUUCGCUCCUCGCUACCUAUUUGAAUACUAAAAAAAGUAAAAGUUAAUCGUUUUUAAAAACUGAAGCAAAGUGAGAUAUAAAAAUAACAUUAAAAUGUAUCAUUUAUACUCUAUGAUAAGCUAGUAUAUUUGUAUUGCUAAUCUGUGAUCUGCGUCAUAUUAACUUAUCUGUGGCUUGUUGUAUUGUUGUAAAUACAAAUUAUUGGAACGAUUUUUGGCUAUAAUAAAUUGUUAAAAUAAUAUUUUAACAAAAAAAAUUGUAAUAUGUAAAUAAAGUAAUAGGUACAUGAAUAUAUUUAAAAAUAAUGCGUUUGGAAAAGAAAAGCAGUUUGUUAAGAAAAUCCACUACCAGCUAUCGACUAAACAGCAAAAAAUAAUGAAAUUCGGGGACAUCGAAUCAAAUAUGCAGCCGA